CAAGUCGAGCGGUAAGGCCCUUCGGGGUACACGAGCGGCGAACGGGUGAGUAACACGUGGGUGAUCUGCCUUGCACUUCGGGAUAAGCCUGGGAAACCGGGUCUAAUACCGGAUAUGACCACGAGAUGCAUGUCUUGUGGUGGAAAGAUUUAUCGGUGCGAGAUGGGCCCGCGGCCUAUCAGCUUGUUGGUGAGGUAACGGCUCACCAAGGCGACGACGGGUAGCCGACCUGAGAGGGUGACCGGCCACACUGGGACUGAGACACGGCCCAGACUCCUACGGGAGGCAGCAGUGGGGAAUAUUGCACAAUGGGCGAAAGCCUGAUGCAGCGACGCCGCGUGCGGGAUGACGGCCUUCGGGUUGUAAACCGCUUUUGACAGGGACGAAGCGCAAGUGACUGUACCUGUAGAAUAAGGACCGGCCAACUACGUGCCAGCAGCCGCGGUAAUACGUAGGGUCCGAGCGUUGUCCGGAAUUACUGGGCGUAAAGAGCUUGUAGGCGGUUCGUCGCGUCGUUUGUGAAAACUUGGGGCUCAACCUUAAGCUUGCAGGCGAUACGGGCGGACUAGAGUACUUCAGGGGAGACUGGAAUUCCUGGUGUAGCGGUGAAAUGCGCAGAUAUCAGGAGGAACACCGGUGGCGAAGGCGGGUCUCUGGGAAGUAACUGACGCUGAGAAGCGAAAGCAUGGGUAGCAAACAGGAUUAGAUACCCUGGUAGUCCAUGCCGUAAACGGUGGGUACUAGGUGUGGGGCUCCUUCCACGGACUCCGUGCCGUAGCUAACGCAUUAAGUACCCCGCCUGGGGAGUACGGCCGCAAGGCUAAAACUCAAAGAAAUUGACGGGGGCCCGCACAAGCGGCGGAGCAUGUGGAUUAAUUCGAUGCAACGCGAAGAACCUUACCUGGGUUUGACAUACACCGGAAACCUGCAGAGAUGUAGGCCCCCUUGUGGUCGGUGUACAGGUGGUGCAUGGCUGUCGUCAGCUCGUGUCGUGAGAUGUUGGGUUAAGUCCCGCAACGAGCGCAACCCUUAUCUUAUGUUGCCAGCGCGUAAUGGCGGGGACUCGUGAGAGACUGCCGGGGUCAACUCGGAGGAAGGUGGGGACGACGUCAAGUCAUCAUGCCCCUUAUGUCCAGGGCUUCACACAUGCUACAAUGGCCGGUACAGAGGGCUGCGAUACCGCGAGGUGGAGCGAAUCCCUUAAAGCCGGUCUCAGUUCGGAUCGGGGUCUGCAACUCGACCCCGUGAAGUUGGAGUCGCUAGUAAUCGCAGAUCAGCAACGCUGCGGUGAAUACGUUCCCGGGCCUUGUACACACCGCCCGUCACGUCAUGAAAGUCGGUAACACCCGAAGCCGGUGGCCUAACC
rnacentral:rRNA from 1 species